AUUUACAGAGAUGGUGUCUGGUGGGUUCCUUUUAAGCUCACCUAUUUUGUCAUUUCUGUUUCUGGAUGGACUUUGAACAGCUUAGUCUCACCUCUCCUUUUCUUAUACCUUCCUUCUUACCUGACCCUGGAUCCUUCCUGACAUAAGGGAAAAUUUCAGGGAAGACCACUCUGUGAUCUAAGCUUGUCACCAAGUCACAACACGGAUGAACCUAGAGCUAAGCCAAAUGACCAGACAUGGAAGGACUUCUGCACAGUGUCACUUACUGGCUGCAUAUAAAAUAAACCCACGGAA